CCUACGGGAGGCUGCAGUGGGGAAUCUUCCGCAAUGGAGGAAAGUCUGACCGAGCAACGCCGCGUGAGUGAUGACGGCUUUCGGAUUGUAAAGCUCUGUUAAACGGGAAGAAUGGUUCUUAUGCGAAUAGUGUGAGGCUUUGACGGUACCGGACUAGAAAGCCACGGCUAACUACGUGCCAGCAGCCGCGGUAAUACGUAGGUGGCAAGCGUUGUCCGGAAUUAUUGGGCGUAAAGCGCGCGCAGGCGGAUUGGUCAGUCUGUCUUAAAAGUUCGGGGCUUAACCCCGUGAUGGGAUGGAAACUGCCAAUCUAGAGUAUCGGAGAGGAAAGUGGAAUUCCUAGUGUAGCGGUGAAAUGCGUAGAUAUUAGGAAGAACACCAGUGGCGAAGGCGACUUUCUGGACGAAAACUGACGCUGAGGCGCGAAAGCCAGGGGAGCGAACGGGAUUAGAUACCCGGGUAGUC
rnacentral:rRNA from 1 species